CGGCGGACAGGUGAGUAACACGUGGGUAACCUACCUAUAAGACUGGGACAACUUCGGGAAACCGGAGCUAAUACCGGAUAAGAUAUCGAACCGCAUGGUUCGAUAGUGAAAGANGGUUUUGCUAUCACUUAUAGAUGGACCCGCGCCGUAUUAGCUAGUUGGUGAGGUAACGGCUCACCAAGGCAACGAUACGUAGCCGACCUGAGAGGGUGAUCGGCCACACUGGAACUGAGACACGGUCCAGACUCCUACGGGAGGCAGCAGUC
rnacentral:rRNA from 1 species